AAAAGAGGUUUGAGGACGAACAGUUAUAACCCUAUUCUCCAUUGAUAGUGAAAUAGAUCUCUUCUCAUUAUGGAAUUGGCGGGAGAAAGAAGAAAAAAAUUAAAAAUUAAAAA